AAAAAAUGAAAGAAAAAGAAAGUCACCUCAGACAGGGAUAAUUCAAGAUCAAAGAUGCUGUGGUUGAUACUGAUGGGGCUGCUGCUGCUGCACCUGUUCUAUAAGUUUAAAGGGAGUUCUGUGAACAAUCCAGUGAAACGUCAGGUGGACCCGAACAAGCUUGCCAAACUAAUAAAAGGCCUCAUGGAUAACUAUAAAGUAGAUGGUAUGUUCAGCCUGGCAGUAAGCAUCCCCAAUGAGGACCCAUACAACUUGGAUCAAGUUUUCAAAGAAAACCCCCCAGAUGACGUGAAGGAUAAGCUUUUAAAGGGUGAAGUGUACAAAGGCAAAAGACUUGUUGCCGCAAAAGUGGAAGCAGAGGAACAAGGUGAAAAACGUGAACAUGCCGAGUAUCGAGUUCUGAACAACUUAAAACUCGAGAGCGACAAUGGUAACCUGCUGGUCAUCUACUCGUAUGCUUCCCCCUGUUCCCUGAGAUGCACCAACAUAAAUAACCAUAACAACAUCAUCACAAAGAUCAACUCGGUCGUCAACAGUCAAAGAUGGGGGGAAACCGUCUUUGUGUUUGAAAAGGUAUUCCAGCCUAAAAAUGGAACGGUUGAGGAACAUGAACUGAUUCAAGCUCUUAACAAUCUUGGAAAAUCUAAAAUCCCUCUCAAGAACAUAUUUCGCUGUGACAAAAUAGAGGGAAGUUUUAAGUGCACAAGUUGUUCCAAUCCGGAUACCACCGGCGAAUCAGUCACCCCCUUCUGUUACACCAACAAACCAGGAAAAGACAACAAAAGUCUGGGCGGUUCUACUAAUGUUGAUGAUGAUAAUGGAUGGAAGACAGAGAAAUAACUGCUAAUGAGGGGUGUCCUCCUCACAAAGGUUCUCCCAGCUGCGUCAUGGAGACCUCUAGUAACCAACUUCAAUGCUUUGUGAGACACACACAGGGGGAUACUUGCUGUUGGUUUGUUCCUGUCUGGUAGAAAGAGGAGCGUCUCCUCAGGGAGGUUCUUCUUUUACAUUUUCUUAGAAAUGAGGAAGACUUUGAAGAAGGUGUGUUAGUGAGAUGUGAGAUCACAUGUUCCGCCCAGCAGACGCUUCUGAAGACAAAGAACGGGAAGUUUGAUGAUUGGCUUUGUUUAAUGUGCAGCAACACCUGUCCAAACAUGUGUGAUGAGGGACAAGCAGCUGGAUACCUGGUGGUUUGACACAUCACCGUUAACAAAUAUUUACAACCAGAUUCUGAACAUAGCAACGGCCCCACACAGUGCACAAUGCAGUGUGUAAAUGGUUCACAGUGACACCGGAAUCUCAGCCAGAGACGGGACCUAUUGGGACCACAGAAUCAGUCGCUGAGAUCAGGAGGAAGAAUACAUUGCUAUGAAUCAUAUUAAUGUGAGUGGAAAAGGGUGAAGCAUAGACUGAUACCGAUCAAACCUGUAUAUCUUGCUCCCCUGGUCCUGCGCAGUUGAUUCACCUGCUGAUCUGAUCUAAUGAGUUUCGAUUAACCCGUGAUCUCAGUGUCUUAUGGCGUCACAUUGGUAACAGAGCAUUCCGUACGACGACAACGAGCAAAGUCACAGACUCUGUGAAGGAUGAAUCAUAAGAUGUGGCGUCUGCAGGAGCCAGAGGAUGGUCGCAGCCACACUUCUGAGGCAUUGCACCGGUGGCUGAUGUCCUUGAACAAUGUAAUAAACGUCCGAGGCCUGUGACUUGGGCCAAAGAGAGACUGCUCUAAAGCAGAAGGGAGAGCUGAUCACGCAGAGAACUGUGUUCUGCAGUCACUUUAACACCUUAGAGCAGGGGUGUCAAACUCAAAUACACAGUGGGCCGAAAUAAAAAAAUUGAUACACGUCAAGGGCCAGAUGGGUUCAACGUUUAUUGAAAACGUAUUGAAAGAACUUGCUUAUGGCUCUAUCUGCAGUUUUUCCAGAGUAAUUUCAAGUGGACCGUUUCUACAGGCAAACAACAGCCAAACAUAAUUUACUUCAAGGACUAAUCAAAUGUCUUGUAGUAAAAAAUUGAAAAUGCGUCAAAGCACCGUUUGCUGCUUUGUGAUGCUCACUGGUCUGAGCCAGACACUUGGUGUCUCAUCUUGGAUACAAGCUCAUCAAUGUCUGGGGUCAGGCUUUGAGCUGAGGAAAUCCUCAGGAUGGAGUGAAGGUGCUGGAAGCUACAGAAUGUAAAUCUUCCCGUUCUUUGUCUUCAGAAGCGCCUGCUGGGCGCAACGUUUGAUCUCACAUCUCAAUCUCAAUAACAUCGCAUUUCUGAGAAAGAACCUCCCUGAGGGAAGUUCCCUGAGGGAUUGCUGCUAUUUAAAAAUGUUGCUUCCCUUAACUGAAAAAGAAGAAUACAAUGUAGCGAAAACACAGGUAAGUGGUGAAUAUAUUGAAUCUUAAAGGAGAUGUGUUUUCUAGUAGAUUGUGUGAAGUGUUCAUAUUUUAGCAGAAUAAUGUUUUUUAUUCAUAUUAACCUUUAAAUUUGUUUUACAUAUGAUGCUUUAUGUGAUUAUCUUCAAAACUUCACCCUAAAAUACACUUUUGGUCCUACGUACAUGCAUUUUAUCUAGUAGGCAGUUUAAAAUAUUAUAUUUGUUAAAAAAUGAAAUAGACAAAGCAUUAAUUUGCCUACGACUCGUUCUUUUCUUCAUCCACGUAAUGACAACAUGCCCUUAAUCAUUAAACUUCAUCUUGUCUCCAGAUUGCGAAGCUGUGUCUGAAAAUCUUGCUAAUAUCUUUAGCAACGCUGUUGUGUUUGUGCCUAUAGGGGAACAACAAGUAACCGUUAAGAAAUCGUUAAGAAAUGCAAAGAAUCCGUGUUUGCUGAUUAGUGCAGUCUGACAUGACCUGAAAGCAUUCAGGUCUUACAGAGGACAUUUGAGAACCUCCUUGAACUCUUUUCUCUUUUGUUUUACUUUUUAUUUUAACUUUAUGUCUUAAAUUUACGAACCCAUAGCUAUAGCAAAAAAACCCAAAGCAUAUUUUUUAUCUUAUUUUU